UUAAGCGACUAAGCGUACACGGUGGAUGCCCUGGCAGUCAGAGGCGAUGAAGGACGUGCUAAUCUGCGAUAAGCGUCGGUAAGGUGAUAUGAACCGUUAUAACCGGCGAUUUCCGAAUGGGGAAACCCAGUGUGAUUCGUCACACUAUCAUUAACUGAAUCCAUAGGUUAAUGAGGCGAACCGGGGGAACUGAAACAUCUAAGUACCCCGAGGAAAAGAAAUCAACCGAGAUUCCCCCAGUAGCGGCGAGCGAACGGGGAGCAGCCCAGAGCCUGAAUCAGUGUGUGUGUUAGUGGAAGCGUCUGGAAAGGCGCGCGAUACAGGGUGACAGCCCCGUACACAAAAAUGCACAUGCUGUGAGCUCGAUGAGUAGGGCGGGACACGUGGUAUCCUGUCUGAAUAUGGGGGGACCAUCCUCCAAGGCUAAAUACUCCUGACUGACCGAUAGUGAACCAGUACCGUGAGGGAAAGGCGAAAAGAACCCCGGCGAGGGGAGUGAAAAAGAACCUGAAACCGUGUACGUACAAGCAGUGGGAGCACAGAGCAAUCUGUGUGACUGCGUACCUUUUGUAUAAUGGGUCAGCGACUUAUAUUCUGUAGCAAGGUUAACCGAAUAGGGGAGCCGAAGGGAAACCGAGUCUUAACUGGGCGUUAAGUUGCAGGGUAUAGACCCGAAACCCGGUGAUCUAGCCAUGGGCAGGUUGAAGGUUGGGUAACACUAACUGGAGGACCGAACCGACUAAUGUUGAAAAAUUAGCGGAUGACUUGUGGCUGGGGGUGAAAGGCCAAUCAAACCGGGAGAUAGCUGGUUCUCCCCGAAAGCUAUUUAGGUAGCGCCUCGUGAAUUCAUCUCCGGGGGUAGAGCACUGUUUCGGCAAGGGGGUCAUCCCGACUUACCAACCCGAUGCAAACUGCGAAUACCGGAGAAUGUUAUCACGGGAGACACACGGCGGGUGCUAACGUCCGUCGUGAAGAGGGAAACAACCCAGACCGCCAGCUAAGGUCCCAAAGUCAUGGUUAAGUGGGAAACGAUGUGGGAAGGCCCAGACAGCCAGGAUGUUGGCUUAGAAGCAGCCAUCAUUUAAAGAAAGCGUAAUAGCUCACUGGUCGAGUCGGCCUGCGCGGAAGAUGUAACGGGGCUAAACCAUGCACCGAAGCUGCGGCAGCGACGCUGAUGCGUAGUUGGGUAGGGGAGCGUUCUGUAAGCCUGCGAAGGUGUGCUGUGAGGCAUGCUGGAGGUAUCAGAAGUGCGAAUGCUGACAUAAGUAACGAUAAAGCGGGUGAAAAGCCCGCUCGCCGGAAGACCAAGGGUUCCUGUCCAACGUUAAUCGGGGCAGGGUGAGUCGACCCCUAAGGCGAGGCCGAAUGGCGUAGUCGAUGGGAAACAGGUUAAUAUUCCUGUACUUGGUGUUACUGCGAAGGGGGGACGGAGAAGGCUAUGUUGGCCGGGCGACGGUUGUCCCGGUUUAAGCGUGUAGGCUGGUUUUCCAGGCAAAUCCGGAAAAUCAAGGCUGAGGCGUGAUGACGAGGCACUACGGUGCUGAAGCAACAAAUGCCCUGCUUCCAGGAAAAGCCUCUAAGCAUCAGGUAACAUCAAAUCGUACCCCAAACGACACAGGUGGUCAGGUAGAGAAUACCAAGGCGCUUGAGAGAACUCGGGUGAAGGAACUAGGCAAAAUGGUGCCGUAACUUCGGGAGAAGGCACGCUGAUAUGUAGGUGAAGUCCCUCGCGGAUGGAGCUGAAAUCAGUCGAAGAUACCAGCUGGCUGCAACUGUUUAUUAAAAACACAGCACUGUGCAAACACGAAAGUGGACGUAUACGGUGUGACGCCUGCCCGGUGCCGGAAGGUUAAUUGAUGGGGUCAGCGCAAGCGAAGCUCUUGAUCGAAGCCCCGGUAAACGGCGGCCGUAACUAUAACGGUCCUAAGGUAGCGAAAUUCCUUGUCGGGUAAGUUCCGACCUGCACGAAUGGCGUAAUGAUGGCCAGGCUGUCUCCACCCGAGACUCAGUGAAAUUGAACUCGCUGUGAAGAUGCAGUGUACCCGCGGCAAGACGGAAAGACCCCGUGAACCUUUACUAUAGCUUGACACUGAACAUUGAGCCUUGAUGUGUAGGAUAGGUGGGAGGCUUUGAAGUGUGGACGCCAGUCUGCAUGGAGCCGGCCUUGAAAUACCACCCUUUAAUGUUUGAUGUUCUAACGUUGACCCGUAAUCCGGGUUGCGGACAGUGUCUGGUGGGUAGUUUGACUGGGGCGGUCUCCUCCUAAAGAGUAACGGAGGAGCACGAAGGUUGGCUAAUCCUGGUCGGACAUCAGGAGGUUAGUGCAAUGGCAUAAGCCAGCUUGACUGCGAGCGUGACGGCGCGAGCAGGUGCGAAAGCAGGUCAUAGUGAUCCGGUGGUUCUGAAUGGAAGGGCCAUCGCUCAACGGAUAAAAGGUACUCCGGGGAUAACAGGCUGAUACCGCCCAAGAGUUCAUAUCGACGGCGGUGUUUGGCACCUCGAUGUCGGCUCAUCACAUCCUGGGGCUGAAGUAGGUCCCAAGGGUAUGGCUGUUCGCCAUUUAAAGUGGUACGCGAGCUGGGUUUAGAACGUCGUGAGACAGUUCGGUCCCUAUCUGCCGUGGGCGCUGGAGAACUGAGGGGGGCUGCUCCUAGUACGAGAGGACCGGAGUGGACGCAUCACUGGUGUUCGGGUUGUCAUGCCAAUGGCACUGCCCGGUAGCUAAAUGCGGAAGAGAUAAGUGCUGAAAGCAUCUAAGCACGAAACUUGCCCCGAGAUGAGUUCUCCCUGACUCCUUGAGAGUCCUGAAGGAACGUUGAAGACGACGACGUUGAUAGGCCGGGUGUGUAAGCGCAGCGAUGCGUUGAGCUAACCGGUACUAAUGAACCGUGAGGCUUAACCUU
rnacentral:rRNA from 1 species